rnacentral:rRNA from 1 species
CCAAUAGCGUAUAUUAAAGUUGUUGCAGUUAAAAAGCUCGUAGUUGAAUUUUGGAUUCUACCAAUCGGUCCAUCUUUUAGAUGAGUACUGGUUGUGUGGGGUCUAUCUGCCUGGUAAUACGUAAUGUCCUUUAUUGGGUGUUGCGGGUAGUCAGGACCUUUACCUUGAAAAAAUUAGAGUGUUUAAAGCAGGCUUAUGCCGGAAUACAUUAGCAUGGAAUAAUAGAAUAGGACGAAGUUGUUUUAUUUUGUUGGUUUCUAGGACAACCGUAAUGAUUAAUAGGGAUAGUUGGGGGCAUUAGUAUUCAAUUGUCAGAGGUGAAAUUCUUGGAUUUAUUGAAGACUAACUACUGCGAAAGCAUUUGCCAAGGAUGUUUUCAUUAAUCAAGAACGAAAGUUAGGGGAUCGAAGACGAUCAGAUACCGUCGUAGUCUUAACCAUAAACUAUGCCGACUAGGGAUCGGGCGAUGUUGUUUCCAUGACUCGCUCGGCACCUUAUG